AUCCUGAUGAAGCAGAUGAGCUUGAGUCAUUGCUUUGUAUGGUCUUCUGAACACACAAACCGACCUAUAAAUUCUCUCAUUUUCUGGGAGAUUUUCACUUUCAACUUUUCACCAACUUCUGGAUUCCAACACAGUCUUUCCAAUCAAGUUCCUGUGGAUGUGGUCCAUAAUGGGGGUGCCCGGGAGUUUGUUGUUGCUCCUAAUUUUUCAGAGUUUUUCAGAAGGCAUUUCAGGUAAACAGUCUUACAUCUUGUGGUAAACAUGUUACUUUUAAAUACAGUAUAGUACAAAACAGUCUAAUACAAUUAUUCCCAGAUUGACACCUCUCUCUUCUAAUAUGUUCAAUAAAAGACCACCAUAUAGGGUAGAGCUUU